rnacentral:rRNA from 1 species
AGCGGACGCUGGCGGCAGGCCUAAUACAUGCAAGUCGAACGGCUCUUCGGAGCAGUGGCGGACGGGUGAGUAACGCGUGGGAACGUGCCCUUUGGUUCGGAACAACACAGGGAAACUUGUGCUAAUACCGAAUGUGCCCUUCGGGGAAAGAUUUAUCGCCAUUGGAGCGGCCCGCGUUGGAUUAGGUAGUUGGUGGGGUAAAGGCCUACCAAGCCUACGAUCCAUAGCUGGUCUGAGAGGAUGAUCAGCCACACUGGGACUGAGACACGGCCCAGACUCCUACGGGAGGCAGCAGUAGGGAAUCUUGCGCAAUGGGCGAAAGCUUGACGCAGCCAUGCCGCGUGAAUGAUGAAGGUCUUAGGAUUGUAAAAUUCUUUCACCGGGGAAGAUAAUGACGGUACCCGGAGAAGAAGCCCCGGCUAACUUCGUGCCAGCAGCCGCCGUAAGAC